rnacentral:rRNA from 1 species
UACGUAGGGUGCAAGCGUUAAUCGGAAUUACUGGGCGUAAAGCGUGCGCAGGCGGUUUUGUAAGUCAGAUGUGAAAUCCCCGGGCUUAACCUGGGAACUGCGUUUCUAACUGGCAGGCUUGAGUGUGGCAGAGGGGGGUGGAAUUCCACGUGUAGCAGUGAAAUGGCGUAGAGAUGUGGAGGAACACCGAUGGCGAAGGCAGCCCCCUGGGCUGAGAUUGACGCUCAGGCACGAAAGCGUGGGGAGCAAACAGG